CCGGAAGUUUCCAGAAGGCCCAGAAGGUUCCAGAAGGCCUGGAAGGUUCCAGAAGGCCCAGAAGGUUCCAGAAGGCCUGGAAGGUCCCAGCAGGCCCCAGAAGGUUCUGGAAGGCCCGGAAGGUUCUGGAAGGUUCCAGGACCCCCAGAAGGUUCCAGAACCCCCCUGGAAGGUUCUGGAAGGUCCCACAAGGCCCCAGAAGGUUCCAGAAGGCCCCAGAAGGUUCCAGAAUCCCCAGAAAGUUCUGAAAGGCCCCGGAAUCCCCAGAAGGUUCCGGAAGGCUCCAGAACCCCCGGAAGGUUCCAGAAUCCCCAGAAAGUUCCGGAAGCCCCAAGAAUCCCUGGAAGGUUCUGGAAGGCCCCAGAAGGUUCCAGAAUCCCCGGAAGGUUCCGGAAGGUUCCAGGAGCCCCUGAAGGCCCUGGAAGGUUCCAGAAUCCCCAGAAAGUUCCAGAAGGCCCCAGAAUCCCUGGUAGGUUCUGGAAGGCCCCAGAAGGUUCCAGAAUCCCCGGAAGGCCCCAGAAUCCCCGGUAGGUUCUGGAAGGCCCCAGAAGGUUCCAGAAUCCCCGGAAGGCCCCAGAAUCCCCGGUAGGUUCCGGAAUCCCCGGAAGGUUCCAGAAUCCCCGGAAGGUUCCAGAAUCCCCAGAAGGUUCCGGAAUCCCCGGAAGGUUCCGGAAGCGGCAGGAUGUGGCACGAGGCGCGCAAGCACGAGCGCAAGCUGCGGGGGAUGAUGGUGGAUUACAAGAAACGCGCCGAGCGGCGCCGCGAGUACUACGAGAAAAUCGUGAGUGAGAACCAGUACGGACCAGUUUGGGCCAGUUUGGGAGGGGUCCUGGACCAGUUUGGGCCAGUUUGGGGGAGCUAGAACUAGUUUGGGCCAGUUCAUACCAGUUUGGGGGGUCCUUGUCCCAGUUUGGGGGUGCCANAAUCCCCAAUUUCCCCCCUUUAAUUCCCAAUUCUAAUCCCAAUUACCCCCCUUAAUUCCCAAUAUUUAUCCCCAAUUUCCCCCUUAAUUAACCCCAAUUCUCCCUUAAUUAAUCCCUAAUUUCCCCUUUGUUCCAAAUUUUUUCCCCUUAAUCCCCAAUUUUUGUUCCCAAUUCCCCCUUAAUCAAUCCCCAAUUCCCUUUGAUCAAUCCCCUAUUUCUCCUUAAUUAAACCCCAAUUUUCCCCCUUAAUCAAUCCCCAAUUUCCCCUUAAUUAAUCCCCAAUUCUGCCCUUAAUCAAUACCCAAUUCCCUUUAAUGAACCCCCAAUGCCUCUUUACUUAAACCUCAAUUUUCCCCUUAAUUAAUCCCCAAUUUCCCCUUAAUUAAACCCCAAUUUCCCCUUAAUUAAUCCCCAUUUCCCCCCCUUUAAUUUCCAAUUUCUAUCCCAAUUUCCCCUUAAUUAAUCCCCAAUUUCCACCUUUAAUCAAUCCCCAAUUUCCCCCUUAAUUAAUCUUCAGUUUCCCCUUAAUUAAUCCUCAAUCCCUCCUUAAUCAAUCGCCAAUGCUCUUUAAUUAACUUCAAUUUCCCCCUUAAUUAAUCCCCAAUUUUGCCCUUAUUUAAUCUCCAAUUCCCCUUAAUUAAUCCCCAAUCCCUCCUUAAUUAAUCC
rnacentral:lncRNA from 1 species